GACGAGCUCUCCAAACGUUAUUCGGUAUCACUGGGCUUAAAGAGUUCGUAGGCGGCUUGACAGGUGAGGUGUGAAAGCCCACGGCCUAACCGUGGAAUUGCGCUUCAAACCGUCGGGCUAGAGGGAUGCAGGGGUAUGCGGAACAGAUGGUGGAGCGGUGAAAUGCGUUGAUAUCAUCUGGAACACCGGUGGCGAAAGCGGCGUACUGGGCAUUUUCUGACGCUGAGGAACGAAAGCUAGGGUAGCGAACGGG
rnacentral:rRNA from 1 species